rnacentral:sRNA from 1 species
UUGGUCACCCCUGGACAAUGAAACCCUCUAUCCACAGACAAGGUAUAAACACAUGCAGCAGCAGUACAAGCUUCUCCCACCGUGUCUGGGACCAGGAGGGACUACACCAAGAGUCAGAGGGGAAUUCAGGCUCCAUAGCUCAUUCAAUCCCUGGCCUCU